rnacentral:rRNA from 1 species
AGAGUUUGAUCCUGGCUCAGGACGAACGCUGGCGGCGUGCUUAACACAUGCAAGUCGAACGGUGAAGGGACCGGUUUUUGCUGGUUCUGGAUGAGUGGCGAACGGGUGAGUAACACGUGAGUAACCUGCCCCCUUCUUCUGGAUAACCGCAUGAAAGUGUGGCUAAUACGGGAUAUUCUGGGUCUGUCGCAUGGCGGGCCUGGGAAAGAUGCGCCUUUGGGUGUUUUUGGUGGGGGAUGGGCUCGCGGCCUAUCAGCUUGUUGGUGGGGUGAUGGCCUACCAAGGCGGUGACGGGUAGCCGGCCUGAGAGGGUGGACGGUCACACUGGGACUGAGACACGGCCCAGACUCCUACGGGAGGCAGCAGUGGGGAAUAUUGCACAAUGGGCGCAAGCCUGAUGCAGCGACGCCGCGUGAGGGAUGGAGGCCUUCGGGUUGUAAACCUCUUUCGCUCAUGGUCAAGCCGCAACAAUGGUUGUGGUGAGGGUAGUGGGUAAAGAAGCGCCGGCUAACUACGUGCCAGCAGCCGCGGUAAUACGUAGGGCGCGAGCGUUGUCCGGAAUUAUUGGGCGUAAAGAGCUCGUAGGCGGCUGGUCGCGUCUGUCGUGAAAUCCUCUGGCUUAACUGGGGGCUUGCGGUGGGUACGGGCCGGCUUGAGUGCGGUAGGGGAGACUGGAACUCCUGGUGUAGCGGUGGAAUGCGCAGAUAUCAGGAAGAACACCGGUGGCGAAGGCGGGUCUCUGGGCCGUUACUGACGCUGAGGAGCGAAAGCGUGGGGAGCGAACAGGAUUAGAUACCCUGGUAGUCCACGCCGUAAACGUUGGGCACUAGGUGUGGGGGGCCUUUUCCGGGUUUUCCGCGCCGUAGCUAACGCAUUAAGUGCCCCGCCUGGGGAGUACGGCCGCA